UGAGCCACAGCCACCCCCGGCCUCUGCAGGAGACCCUCCAACACUAGCAGGCAGAACUCAGAGUCCAGGGAGAGUCUGCAGGACAGAGUAGCAGAGAAAAGAGAGGUGCAAGGAGAGAGAUCUCUGAAGACCUACAGAGGGCCUCCCUUGAGUAUUCAACUGAAUACCGAUCAGCACAUCAUGCCAGGGAACUAACUGAGGCCAGGGAAAGAAUCACUCAUCACCGCUUAAAAGGAUAAGAGUUCUGGAGGCUGGGAAGUCCAAGAUCAAGGUGAUAGCUAGGUAGGUUUCAGUCUGAGUCCUCUUCUCUUGUCUUGUAGGUGGUCACCAUCUCAUUGUGUGCUCACAUAACCUCUUCUUUGUGCAUACUUGAGGAAAGGGAAGGGAUGAGAGAGGGGGAGAGAGAGAGGGAGAGGGAGGGAGAGAGGGAGAGAGAGGAAGAGAGAGGGAGAGAGAGCGAGAAGGCUCAAGAUCUCUGGAGUCUCUUCUUAUAAUGGCACUAAUCUUAUCAUGAGGGCCCCACUCUAAUGAUCUCAUCUAGCCUGAAUUACCUCCUAAAAUACCCACCUUCAAAUACAAUCACACUGAGGAUUAGGCUUCAACAUACAAAUUUGGGAGGGACACAUUCAGUCCAUAUUACCUCCCAACUCAUUCUACAAAACCAAUAUUACCUUGGUACCAAAACUAGACAAAGAUAUUUUUAAGUAAAGAUAAAUACCCCUCAUGAACAUAAAUGCAAAAAUAUAGUAAAUUUUAAUAGUAAAAACGUAGUAAAAGAAUUGAAUCUAACAAUGUAUAAAAAAAGACAAUGCAUCAUGAUCAAGUGGAGUUUACCACAGGAGUGCAAGAUUGGUUUAUCAUUGAAAGGAUCGGUCAAUGUGACACAACAUACUAACAAACCAAAAAAAGAAGAAAAUAUCUGACAAUUGCGUCCAAUACAGAAAUGUAUUUGACUAAAUUCAACUUCCAUUUCUGAUUAAAAAAAAAAAAAAAACUCUUAGUAAACCAGGAUUGGAAGGAAACUUCUGCAACCUGAUAAAAGGCUUCUAUGAAAAACUGACAACAAAUUUUUAUGUAUUAUGAUUUUGGUUCUGACUACAGGUCAGUGUUCCAUUACUAAAAUUCAUCCAACUGUUCACUUAAAAUGGGUAGCUUCUAUUUUAUAUAAAUGAUAUGUCAGUGAGGCUGGGGAGAAGUCAAGGAAUAAAAUCUCUCACGCAGAAUAUUCCUUUACGUUGAAUGCUUCUAAUUAUUAUCUGGUCAACACAUAUAUUUCCAUUGAAAGGGAAUUCACAACCACAAGCAAAACACAAAAACCUAUUUCACUUUAAAACAAUACAAAUCAUGCUAUUCCUUUCAUCAAAACAAAUAGGUGUCCCUGCAGCUUCUUCCUAAGGAUUUUCAUCCUAUUUUCUUCAGUGACAUUGUCCUGUCAACAGUUCAUCAUAUUUUGUUGUGUUAAGACCUUUCACAAUGUUAUAAAUUUUUGUGCAUCAACAGUAUCAUAAUAACCCAUUUACACACAUACUACAAACCUUUGCGCCUAAUUAUUUUAUUUCUUCCAUUAGAUGAACAAAUGCCCCAUGUUACUUCAAAAUGCCUAUGUCCUGGAGAGUUUUAUACACUUUAUUUACACUGCCUCAACAAAAUGAUUAGCGAAGAACGGCCAUCAUCAAAAAAUCUACAAACAACAAAUGCUGGAGAGGGUGUGGAGAAAAGGGAACCCUCUUGUGCUGUU